rnacentral:rRNA from 1 species
AAAGCGUGCGCAGGCGGUUGUGCAAGUCUGAUGUGAAAGCCCCGGGCUUAACCUGGGAACGGCAUUGGAGACUGCACGACUAGAGUGCGUCAGGAGGGGGUAGAAUUCCACGUGUAGCAGUGAAAUGCGUAGAGAUGUGGAGGAAUACCGAUGGCGAAGGCAGCCCCCUGGGAUGACACUGACGCUCAUGCACGAAAGCGUGGGGAGCAAACAGGAUUAGAUACCCUGGU